UACACACACUUUGUUUUUCCAGUAUAAAGGAGGCUGCUGAGGAACGGCCCAGAAGACUUCCCUGACUGAAAGAAGAUUAAGACACAAGCUGGUGGUGAUCCAGAGCAGCUGGUCUCAGAAAAUGAAGAAAAAGCCUGAUCACUUUUUCUACAAAACCCAGCUCUGACUCACUGUGGGGACACUGAGGAAGCAAAUGCGUGUGCUGCUCACCUGUGCAUGGUGUAGUGCCAUAUGAAAAAGAGCAUGUCAAAAAGCAGUAAGCACGCCACUACUUCCAUGCAGAGCUGCCAGCAGGUUGGGGCGUCUGCUGGUAACUUGGGGCUCAGCAGGGUGUUGAAGAGCGCUGUGGCGGGAAGGACGACGGUCGUGUAUUUAUACAAAACCUUCCAAAAACAUUCCGACCAUCGCCGCAGAGACGGCGGCGGACCCGAGCCCGCGGAGAUCCUCCAAGACCGAACCCGCUGACUGACGCUCCCCAGCGCGUCCAGCACGAAGAAAGGCGCGCAGAGCAGCACAUGGCUCAAGAAGGCAAAACACGCGGGCAGGCAAAUUUAUAAGCGCUGAAAAUCUCUGACCCAGAUCUGGACUCCUGCCCUCCGAUCAGACAUCGUCCGGACCAGAAUGAUCGUCGGUAAACACGAGAUCCACCACCUCCACCUCUUCAUUGAGUCGCUGCUGCACCACAACCUGCAGACAAGCAGAACAGCUCCACCUCAGAAGAGCCCUCAACACUGCGGUCUCCUGUAUGGAGACAGACCAGAUAGGCCGCUCAGAGCAGAGACCUGAAGUGUGACAGCCGUCACACUGAACUGAGCGUCAUGUGCAACAUGCGCAGGAGAUGGUUAAUCAGAAGAAAAGCCAGAAGAAAAAAGGACAAAUAAGAUGUUGACAGAGAACAGCAACAUUGACUCUGUACUAUACAGCUGCCACUAGGUGCAUCGAGAUGACAGAUGUUACAACUGCAGCCUGACGGGCCAUUGGUGAAAUGAAUAUCCACAACUGGUGAAGGGAACGCGGACUAACCAGACUGUAUCACACUGAUCGGAGAGGAGGACUUCAGACAAGUCAGAUGAGGGCGACUUGCUUGAUCAACAUAGAAGGGAAGUGAGAUAUCACACACACACACACACACACACACACACACACACACACACACACACACACACACAGCACUAGCACAAACACCUAAACCACAAACCAAGAAGCAAAUGAUGGCCUUUUUAGGCCUGUGUACAUUGUUUGGCUGACCUUUUAGACUCCCGGUGUACACAGAAGAACAACAAGCAGAGGAAGAGACAGACUUGAGUGAUUGGAUGAGAAAAUUGUUCCAAAGCAAAAAGGUUGUUGAUAUAAAUAAACUGCCGGAAGGCUCUUCUGCUUCUCAACAGGAACAUCCGGUGGCGGUGGGAGACUGGGUCCUGGUCAGAGUGAUCAAGAAGUAGUGCUGGAACCAACCCCGUUGGGACGGACCCUACAAAGUACUACUGACCACACCAACUGCGGUCAAAAUAGCAGAGAGAUCCACGUGGAUACACCUCAGCCAUUGCAAAAGGAUUGAGCCAACAAACGCUGAGUAGGGGACGGAAGUCGGGGUACAA